CAUCGGAUAGACUAUUGAGAUUGCCGGCGGACCAACGGAGAGUGACAGUUCCGGUGAACAUUGACCAAAAUGCCAAAAGCAAAAUGGCAGCUAAAGCCCAGAACUUAUACCGGCCUUUCCCAAAUAUAUUAGAAUCGGAGCUUUCCUUCUUCGUAAUUGUCGCCGUUCCCGUUACCGUCGCCGCCGCUGUGGAUGUUGGAAGAGAAUCAUCAUCCUUCAUUUUGACUUCAAAUCAACUCAAUUUCACAAUUUUGUUAAAAAGAAAGGUUAUUUUGUCUUAUGGUGUGUCUUUAGGAAGAGUACUGUGUGCUGUUGAGAAAAAGAAAAUAGAAGGGGUUGAGAUUCUUCUUCUUCUUCUUCUUCUUCUUC
rnacentral:misc_RNA from 1 species